UACGUAGGGGGCAAGCGUUUGUCCGGAAUCAUUGGGCGUAAAGAGCGUGUAGGCGGCUUGGUAAGUCCGCUGUGAAAGUCCAAGGCUCAACCCUGGAAAGCCGGUGGAAACUGUCAAGCUUGAGUCCGGAAGAGGCGAGUGGAAUUCCUGGUGUAGCGGUGAAAUGCGCAGAUAUCAGGAGGAACACCAAUGGCGAAGGCAGCUCGCUGGGACGGUACUGACGCUGAGACGCGAAAGCGUGGGGAGCAAACAGG
rnacentral:rRNA from 1 species